UUGGAGGGCAAGUCUGGUGCCAGCAGCCGCGGUAAUUCCAGCUCCAAUAGCGUAUAUUAAAGUUGUUGCAGUUAAAAAGCUCGUAGUUGAAUUUCGGGAUCAAUGCGUCGGUCGUUCCUUCGGUACGUACUAGCGUCAUUGAUUCCUCCCUUCUGAAGAACCGUGAUGUCAUUAAUUUGGUGUUACGGGGAAUCAGGACUGUUACCUUGAAAAAAUUAGAGUGUUUAAAGCAGGCUAACGCUUGAAUACAUUAGCAUGGAAUAAUGAAAUAGGACGUUCGAACCCAUUUUGUUGGUUUCUAGGAUCGACGUAAUGAUUAAUAGGGAUGGUUGGGGGCAUUAGUAUUCAAUUGUCAGAGGUGAAAUUCUUGGAUUUAUUGAAGACUAACUACUGCGAAAGCAUUUGCCAAGGAUGUUUUCAUUAAUCAAGAACGAAAGUUAGGGGAUCGAAGACGAUCAGAUACCGUCGUAGUCUUAACCAUAAACUAUGCCGACUAGGGAUCGGAUGAUGUUAAUUUUUUAAUGACUCAUUCGGCACCUUACGGGAAAC
rnacentral:rRNA from 1 species